rnacentral:rRNA from 1 species
UGCAAGUCGAACGAACUCUGGUAUUGAUUGGUGCUUGCAUCAUGAUUUACAUUUGAGUGAGUGGCGAACUGGUGAGUAACACGUGGGAAACCUGCCCAGAAGCGGGGGAUAACACCUGGAAACAGAUGCUAAUACCGCAUAACAACUUGGACCGCAUGGUCCGAGCUUGAAAGAUGGCUUCGGCUAUCACUUUUGGAUGGUCCCGCGGCGUAUUAGCUAGAUGGUGGGGUAACGGCUCACCAUGGCAAUGAUACGUAGCCGACCUGAGAGGGUAAUCGGCCACAUUGGGACUGAGACACGGCCCAAACUCCUACGGGAGGCAGCAGUAGGGAAUCUUCCACAAUGGACGAAAGUCUGAUGGAGCAACGCCGCGUGAGUGAAGAAGGGUUUCGGCUCGUAAAACUCUGUUGUUAAAGAAGAACAUAUCUGAGAGUAACUGUUCAGGUAUUGACGGUAUUUAACCAGAAAGCCACGGCUAACUACGUGCCAGCAGCCGCGGUAAUACGUAGGUGGCAAGCGUUGUCCGGAUUUAUUGGGCGUNAAGCGAGCGCAGGCGGUUUUUUAAGUCUGAUGUGAAAGCCUUCGGCUCAACCGAAGAAGUGCAUCGGAAACUGGGAAACUUGAGUGCAGAAGAGGACAGUGGAACUCCAUGUGUAGCGGUGAAAUGCGUAGAUAUAUGGAAGAACACCAGUGGCGAAGGCGGCUGUCUGGUCUGUAACUGACGCUGAGGCUCGAAAGUAUGGGUAGCAAACAGGAUUAGAUACCCUGGUAGUCCAUACCGUAAACGAUGAAUGCUAAGUGUUGGAGGGUUNCCGCCCUUCAGUGCUGCAGCUAACGCAUUAAGCAUUCCGCCUGGGGAGUACGGCCGCAAGGCUGAAACUCAAAGGAAUUGACGGGGGCCCGCACAAGCGGUGGAGCAUGUGGUUUAAUUCGAAGCUACGCGAAGAACCUUACCAGGUCUUGACAUACUAUGCAAAUCUAAGAGAUUAGACGUUCCCUUCGGGGACAUGGAUACAGGUGGUGCAUGGUUGUCGUCAGCUCGUGUCGUGAGAUGUUGGGUUAAGUCCCGCAACGAGCGCAACCCUUAUUAUCAGUUGCCAGCAUUAAGUUGGGCACUCUGGUGAGACUGCCGGUGACAAACCGGAGGAAGGUGGGGAUGACGUCAAAUCAUCAUGCCCCUUAUGACCUGGGCUACACACGUGCUACAAUGGAUGGUACAACGAGUUGCGAACUCGCGAGAGUAAGCUAAUCUCUUAAAGCCAUUCUCAGUUCGGAUUGUAGGCUGCAACUCGCCUACAUGAAGUCGGAAUCGCUAGUAAUCGCGGAUCAGCAUGCCGCGGUGAAUACGUUCCCGGGCCUUGUACACACCGCCCGUCACACCAUGAGAGUUUGUAACACCCAAAGUCGGUGGGGUAACCUUUUAGGAACCAG